AUUGAACGCUGGCGGCAUGCUUUACACAUGCAAGUCGAACGGCAGCACGAGUGCUUGCACUUGGUGGCGAGUGGCGAACGGGUGAGUAAUACAUCGGAACGUGUCCUAAAGUGGGGGAUAACGCAUCGAAGUUACGCUAAUACCGCAUAUUCUGUGAGCAGGAAAGCAGGGGAUCGCAAGACCUUGCGUUCUGGGAGCGGCCGAUGUCGGAUUAGCUAGUUGGUAGGGUAAAGGCCUACCAAGGCGACGAUCCGUAGCGGGUCUGAGAGGAUGAUCCGCCACACUGGGACUGAGACACGGCCCAGACUCCUACGGGAGGCAGCAGUGGGGAAUUUUGGACAAUGGGCGAAAGCCUGAUCCAGCAAUGCCGCGUGAGUGAAGAAGGCCUUA
rnacentral:rRNA from 1 species